CUCUGUUGUAAGGUAGAAACUGAGAGUUCACAUGAUGGCCUUUUCUCAGAUUCUGAAUCUGAUGUGUACAGAUGAACUCAGGAGUCUGCUGGAGUUGCCAGGGAACUUGAGCUUGAACUGGAGACCAAAAACACAAAGAAAAUCAGUCACAGCAAGCCAGUCAAACCAGUCCUGAUGAAUGAGGAAUGAACAUGGUCUUCUUAUGCCCAAAUAGAAAAGGCAGAUUUCCACUGGAGGAUGAAGCCAGCUGAUGAAGAGAUUAAUUCAAUGGCCAUCAGGUAUCUGCUGUGAAGACUGCAUUCACGGACGGCUCUACUGUGACGGCUCAGAUGUUACGACGCAUAAAAGUAAACUUCACAACUGAACAACAAGAGUUGUGGAGGGAUUCAUACCUCCAACAAGAAUCAAUGGACAUCUACAUCAGGUGGUGUGUGAGGAAAGCACAGAGGACCAUCAGAGACUCCAGCCAACUGCAUGGAUCGCUCUCAUUGUUACCAUCAGGCAGAAGUUAUUGCAGAACCUACACCAGCAGACUGUGAGACAAGUUCUUUCCACAGACAAUCAGACUGAACUGAACUCAUACCAGUAACACCACACACAGCACAUCAACCUCAUGUACUGCCCUCUAACAGUUACACUGUCUGGACUCUGACUCACUAUUAUUCUGCACCCUGACAUUCUGUUUGCACUAAUUCAUACCGUACUGCACUGUCAUUAUUGUUUAUCAUUGUUUUCAUUUUGUGCUCACUGUAUAGCGUAAUAUUUACCAUAUAUUGUGCUCUGCAUGUACUGAGUCCCUUAUAUAUACUGUAUAUGUAUAUGUAUAUGUGUGUGUGUUGCAUAUAUUUAAUAUUUUUCAUCCAUACUGUAAUGCUGCAGUUUGCACAAAAUAAUUUCACCUGUACACUUGUGAUUAUGGUAUUGUGACAAUAAAGUGAUUUGAUUUGAACUGGUCAUUUCUUUUGUUCAUCACUUGUACUGUAGUGUGCUGGAUAACAACUGCAAAUUGUUUAUGACAUGGAAGAAGUUUAUGGAUAAACAAAUAAUAAGAAGAAAACCAGGAGAGCUCAGAUGAUGAGCAGGAAACUGAAUGUGAUUCCAUGAUGCUCAAGAAAUUUGACCAUAACCCAUUUUUAUUUCUC